AUCCAGCUGACGAGUCCAAAAUAGGAAGAAAUGCACGUUGUCCUAGAU
rfam:Trichobilharzia regenti genome assembly, scaffold: TRE_scaffold0000471